rnacentral:rRNA from 1 species
UAAAAUUUUAUGAUUUUAUGAAUUUAUUUAUAGUUUAUUUUACAUAUAAAUUUUAGUAUGAAUUUUUAAUUAUUUUAAUAAUAAUUAUUUAUUUAUUAGUAGUAAUUAAUAUUAAAAAUUUAAGAAAUUAAGAUUUAGUAAUAUUAAAAUUAAUAACAAAUUUUGUGCCAGCAGUUGCGGUUAUACAAAAAUUAAAAUAAAUUUUUUUAGUUUAAAAUAAAUUAAUAAUAAUUUAAAUUAAAUAUUAAAUUUUUAAGUGAAAUUUUAAUUUAAUUAAAAUUUAUUUUUUAUUAUUGAAUUGGUAAAUUUUAAAUAUAAACUAGGAUUAGAUACCCUAUUAUUGAAAAUUUAAUUAAAGAUACUAAAAUAUUAAAUUUUAAUCAUUGAAACUUAAAUAAUUUGGCGGUAUUUUAGUUCAUUUAGAGGAAUCUGUUUAAUAAUUGAUAAUCCACGAUUAAAUUUACUUAAUUUAAAAUUUUAUAUAUCGUUGUUAAAAAAAUAUUUUUAAAUAAAAAUAAUAUUUAAAAAUUAAAAUAUAAAUUUAAUUCAGAUCAAGAUAUAGAUUAUAAUUAAGAAUAUAAUGGAUUACAAUAAAUUAAUUUAAAUGAAUUUUAUUUUGUAAUAAGUAAAUGAAGGUGGAUUUAAAUGUAAUUUUAUUUAUUUUAUUAUAAUGAUUAAAAAUUAAAAUAUGUACAUAUUGCCCGUCGCUUUCAUUUAAAAAUUGGAAUAAGUCGUAACAAAGUAGAGGUACUGGAAAGUGUUUCUGGAAAGAA